UUGUCUGAAAGGUUGGUACCAAUUUGCAUACUUGAUUCUGUAGCAUUUAUUUAGGAAAUCACUUUUGUUCAACUUUUACUGCAAACUGUGCAUGUCAUCUACUCCUCACAAACAAGAACAUGAUAUUAUGGACAAAAUUUUAUGACAUGUAAGUCGAAAAAGUAAAUGUCCUGAAAAUAGACUUGUGCUUGGAGUUCAGACUGAAAGUACCAAGCAUUCUGCAAAUGUUAUGUACCAAAUUUCAGACUUGUGCUUGGACAGUUUGAAAGUACUCCACGGAGUAAAAUUUCAGACUUUCAGACUUGUGCUUUGACAUUCUGGAAGUACUUGUGCUUGUACCAAAUUUCAUACUUUUAGACUGACAGUCUACAAGAUAACAUUAACAAAGAUGACAGUCUGAAAAUUACUUGUGCUUGUACCAAAAUUCAGACUUUCAGACUUGUGCUUGGACGGUCUGAAAAUGCGAAAUUUCAGACUAGUGCUUGGACAGUGUGAAAGUCUGAAAGUACCAAAUACUUGUGCUUGUACAUGUCAUCUAUGGCAUACAUAAUAUUAGUACUUCCAGACUUCUUCGGCGUAAAGAGUACUUGCAGUACAUAAUAUUAUGUUAGGAAAUCAUUUUUGUCAACUCUUACUGCAAAAUCCAAGCACAAUUCUGUAUCAUGUCAUGUUUAUUUAGAAGUACAUAAUAUUUUAGCAUAGAUAUCUGAAAGUACUCUUUGCUUUAAAAUAGUGCUUGGAGCAUAUGUUGUAUCCUCUAGGGUAAGAUUAAAAAAUUCUGGAUCUUUGGAAAUGAUAUGAAUGGCAAGCAUAUGAACAUUUUGUGAAAAUGAUAUAUUUUAAUCGUCCGACUAACAGUAUCUUGGAAGCUUACAAUGAUUUUUAGGCAAAGGCGAGCAGUACAAUAGCUAACCCACUAGCAACACAAUAUGUUAUACAUACAGAGAGCUAAAAGAAAUUACUAAGGACAAAACAUCCAUCAAUCUAACAAUUUAUGAGGGGUGUGAAAAUAAUGAAUUGCCAAGAAUUUAUGUUCUUAAGCGGUGGGAGAGAAAUUGCAAAAGGUAUAUUUCUCUUCACGUAGAUGUAGAAGCAUUUAUACUUAUCUACCUUGACACACAUCAUGAUGUAAUAUGUUUCACGUUGCUAGGGACAUUGUCUUCGAUAGGGAAGGGAACAUGCUUGAAGAGAAUUUAAUUGACCCGGUUGACAUGGCUAUGAAAAGGAAGAUAGCUCUCGUUAGAAACAAGCUAGAAGAUCUCAUACGGAAUUCUAAAAGUUCAAUGGAAGGAAUUGAAUUCUUGCACACCAGUUUGUGCAACGCUGAGAUGGCUUUAGCCCAGCUUGUACCAGCUGUAGCAUACAACACACACGAAAAUGAGGAGUCAUUUAUCGGGAGCAACGGAGCAUCAUUCCAAAGCACGUUACCAUCCACACACCUACUGAUAUCAAUGCAAGGGGCACUUGCUCUAUAAUAAAGGGACACAGGGAUGCUGUGAGGAGUGGGUCGGGCGAGAAGAAAAGAAGGCCUGGAAUCCAUCAAAAGGUCGCACGCAAAUGUCGCAUUUGUAAGGAAGUGGCGUUCCACGAUGCAAGGACAUGCUCUAAGAAACAAAUGACACAACAGUAGAGGUCUGACGUCUCCCAGGACAAGAAGAUUGAUAGGCAAGAGGCACUAAUACGGGAGGCAAAAGGCUGUAGCUUUUCUGUUGUAUACCAUCAACAGAGCAAAACCUAAUGCAAAUUCUAAUGGCAAGCUUGUUCAGUGGAUAUCGGUGCUUUCUUUAGUCCUUCAUACUUAGUGUUGUCUGUGAUGUACCAAAAAUGCUUUUCUCGUGCUAUGUAACACUUUAUAUGUAUGUGUUUUUUUUC